AGCGAACGCUGGCGGCAGGCCUAACACAUGCAAGUCGAGCGCCCCGCAAGGGGAGCGGCAGACGGGAGAGUAACACGUGGGAACGUGCCCUUUGGUUCGGAACAACCCAGGGAAACUUGGGCUGAUACCGGAUAAGCCCUCACGGGGAAAGAUUUAUCGCCGAAGGAUCGGCCCGCGUCUGAUUAGCUAGUUGGUGGGGUAAUGGCCCACCAAGGCGACGAUCAGUAGCUGGUCUGAGAGGAUGAUCAGCCUCACUGGGACUGAGACACGGCCCAGACUCCUACGGGAGGCAGCAGUGGGGAAUAUUGGACAAUGGGCGCAAGCCUGAUCCAGCCAUGCCGCGUGGGUGAUGAAGGCCCUAGGGUUGUAAAGCCCUUUCGGCGGGGAAGAUAAUGACGGUACCCGCAGAAGAAGCCCCGGCUAACUUCGUGCCAGCAGCCGCAGUAA
rnacentral:rRNA from 1 species